rnacentral:rRNA from 1 species
GACGAACGCUGGCGGCGUGCUUAACACAUGCAAGUCGAACGCUGAAGCCCUUUCGGGGGUGGAUGAGUGGCGAACGGGUGAGUAACACGUGGGUAAUCUGCCCUGUACUUCGGGAUAAGCCUUGGAAACGGGGUCUAAUACCGGAUAGGACCUGUCCUCGCAUGGGGGUGGGUGGAAAGUUCCGGCGGUAUGGGAUGAGCCCGCGGCCUAUCAGCUUGUUGGUGGGGUAGUGGCCUACCAAGGCGACGACGGGUAGCCGGCCUGAGAGGGUGACCGGUCACACUGGGACUGAGACACGGCCCAGACUCCUACGGGAGGCAGCAGUGGGGAAUCUUGCGCAAUGGGCGAAAGCCUGACGCAGCAACGCCGCGUGGGGGAUGACGGCCUUCGGGUUGUAAACCUCUUUCGACAUCGACGAAGGGGCCCUGUUGUGGGGUUUUGACGGAGGUGUAGAAGAAGCACCGGCUAACUACGUGCCAGCCGCCGCCGUAA